rnacentral:rRNA from 1 species
AACGAACGCUGGCGGCAUGCCUAACACAUGCAAGUCGAACGAGACCUUCGGGUUUAGUGGCGCACGGGUGCGUAACGCGUGGGAACCUGCCCUUAGGUUCGGAAUAACUCCCCGAAAGGGGUGCUAAUACCGGAUAAUGUCUUCGGACCAAAGAUUUAUCGCCUUUGGAUGGGCCCGCGUUGGAUUAGCUGGUUGGUAGGGUAAAAGCCUACCAAGGCGACGAUCCAUAGCUGGUCUGAGAGGAUGAUCAGCCACACUGGGACUGAGACACGGCCCAGACUCCUACGGGAAGGAGCAGUGGGGAAUAUUGGACAAUGGGCGAAAGCCUGAUCCAGCAAUGCCGCGUGAGUGAUGAAGGCCUUAGGGUUGUAAAGCUCUUUUACCCGGGAUGAUAAUGACAGUACCGGGAGAAUAAGCUCCGGCUAACUCCGUG